rnacentral:lncRNA from 1 species
CAAACUAAUUUUUUUGGUUACAAAGGGGAAGAAGAGCGCAACAACAUAGAAACUAAAUGCCUAGGUAUUAUAUUUUUUAGGCCAAGAGGCCCUAAUGAGGUCCUCGCGAAUGAUGCUCAGUAUUUCACUAGGAGGGUAUGUAUUUAAUAGGAUCUAGGGGGACCUGGAGAAGGCGUGAUUCGCCAAGUAGUUAGCACAAUGAUUCCCUUUCGGUAGACAUAUUGUAUAUUCAUAGUCCAAUCUUUCAUAAGCCAAGCCUUAAUAACUAGAACUAGGUUGGAAUUAGCAUUGAUAGAAAUCACCUCGUGGAUGACGAGGGCACUAUCCAUUUUUAAGAUAACAUGAUGCAAACCCAAGUUCCAAGCCAACAUGAGACCAUCCAGGAGCCCCCAAAGUUCAGCC